CGUAGGAUGCAAGCGUUAUCCGGAAUUAUUGGGCGUAAAGAGUUCGUAGACGAAUUGUUAAGUAGGAUGUUAAAGAUCAGGGCCUAACCCUGGGAAGGCAUUCUAAACUGGCAGAAUAGAGCAAUGUAGGGGCAAGUAGAAUUCUGUGUGUAGGGGUAAUAUCCGUAGAUAUACAGAGGAAUACCAAAAGCGAAGGCAGCUUGCUGGGCAUUUGCUGACGUUCAAGAACGUAAGCGUGGGGAGCAAACAGGAUUAGAUACCCUGGUAGUCCACGCCCUAAACAAUGAUCACUCGAUGUCGGAGGAUUCGACCCCUUCGGUGUCUAAGUUAACACGAUAAGUGAUCCGCCUGGGUAGUACGAUCGCAAGAUUA
rnacentral:rRNA from 1 species